UCCACAUCAGGCACCACGUGGGCCUUGUCCUCAUCCUGCAGAGACACUGAUGUUUGGCUGCAGAACAGUUGGACUGUAGCAUUGGCUCUGAUGGACUUGGACAUCUCCAAACUGCUGGCCCUUGACAGAGGGGAGAUUGGCGCAGCUCUGAACACACUUUUUGUGAUGGCUGAUUGGUGGCCACCUUGUGGUCAUAGUAAGUGAAGACAGCCAGGUCUCUAGUAAUGAAGCCCAGCCCACAGCAACAAGUAUCCCAUUGGAGGGGGCAUUGUCAGGGCAGACACAGUGGUAGGGUCAAUGCAUUUCCCAGCCACCUCUGGGUAUCAGGGUGUUCAGAUCACAGUUCUACUGCAGCCCACAGACUUCUCCAGAUGGUCUCUACUAGAUACUACAAGCCCACCCUGAAGAUGGAGGCCCUGCUUGGUGUCCCUACCCAGGAUGCCCCAGAAAACCUCCCUGGAAAAGCUGAGACUUGUCCCUUCAUGAGCAGCGCCAGAUGAUGUCAGAAGCCUCUAGAAUUUGAUUUUCUUUCUUGUGGUGCCGCUCUCCUGGAGAUGCCAAAUCGGGCUCUCAAAACCCAAAUAAUCAGAAUGCAAAGAUGGUGGUGGUGCAUGAAGCCGGGCCUGUGAAGACUAGAUGCCUUUGGUUGAUGAUCUGCAGCAGCUCAUCCCUCUUCAUGGACAUCCUGACCAGGGGAGCUCAAGCUCCUACCUGGAUCCUGGUGUUUGGGGCUUUUGGAGAUGGGUCAGGAUCUCCCCUCAUUUGCUGCUGCCCUGCACUUGGAUGCUGGGUUGAAAGCCCUUUGAAGGGCCUGGCACUCUCCAUGGCAGGAACAGUCUGAAAAGGAAGAUGGAAUUCCAUUUCCUACCUUUCAGGGUGUGAUGUCUGACUCAAGGGAAAGCUAGACUCUGAGAAGCAGGAGAAUCUCAUCAGGAUGAGUUUUCUAGACUUGAUUUGGGGAGUGGUGAUGGAGGGACAGACAAGUUAAGGAAAAGGUAUCUAUAAUGGAGAAUGAAAAUGCAGCUUGGACAUCCUUCUCCAGAGUCUAACCUCCUAAGUUCUGCCAGACCUUCUCCCUCUUCACCCUGUCAGAGCUGCCUAUAGGCUACAACCAGUGCCCAGGCCUAGUAUGGCUAUCAUUGUCUGCACCACAACAAACCUUUAAGAUUC